rfam:Salmo salar isolate Sally breed double haploid chromosome ssa22, whole genome shotgun sequence.
UGAACGCACUGACUGUAAAUCACUCUGGAUAAGAGUGUCUGCUAAAUGACCAAAA